rnacentral:lncRNA from 10 species
CGCAGCCAAACGGAAGGCUGGGCAGCCAGGACCGCUUACUGCUUGGGGGCUGGAGAUGGAAGCCGAGGCUCUAAUUCCUCUACCCACUUCCUAGGAGGCUCUGCUAUCCCUCCGGUCCCAGUACCCGAGCUGGGGGACCUAAAUACUUCCGAGACGCCCGAGUCCUGCUCCGACGUGGUUGGGCUUUCCCAUUCUUUCGAGAAGACAGGGAAUUUGGGCUUCCGGGCUGGCCGGGAGAACAGAUUUUACAGACAUGCGGGGUGUGACAAGCUCUCUAACUGGAGAAUGAACAUUUCACACUUUUACCAGUUUUACACCCAAUUGGAAUGAUUUUAUUAGUGCCCAUUUCCCGUGCUAGGCUGGGGUCUCCACCAAGGCAGAGAGGUACCAUGUAUCCGGGGAGCCUGCGACACCCUUGACACUUAGUAGAUGAUCAAUAAGUACUUGUCGAAUGAGUAAAUGAAUGAACCAGGGCUCCCCAGGUCAGGACUGUGUCCCUAAACCUAAAGGGCAAGGCCACGUGCCCCCUUGACUCCCAAUAGCAGGGCCAUGUCUUCACCUGAGACCCUGGAGAGUAGUGCUGGGCUUUCCACAGACACCAAAGGACAGGGUGCCUUGUGCUCCCCAACCUAGUGUCAUGACGUCCCCAACCAUUUCGAGGGCAGGGCCACGGCAUGCCUCAGGCUCCAGAAGGCAGCUGUCCGUUUCCCACUCCCACCUCGGGGAGCACAGCAGGGGUCUUCCCAUACCCCUACUGGCAGGAUUGCGUGUUCCCCAGAGACAGUGGAGGGCAGAGCUGGUGCCUUCC